UGCUGUUAAAAAAAAUCAUCGAUCUACACCUCUCUCUUCGCCAAUAGCCUCCCUUCACCACUGAUCACCGGUCUUCCUCUUCUCUCCCCCACCAAUCGUAUCACUAACAAACUCCCCUUCACUCUCUCCUCUCACCAUCAACGACUAAAACCACCUAAAUUAAGCCUAAUUAAUAUCAGCAACCACAUACUACUCACCCAUCUCUGAGCAGCCCCGUCACUUCAAACCACCUCUCCCCCCCAUCAACCACCAUUGCAGGCUUCUCCACCAUGCUAGCCUCUUCGUAACCUAGCAGCCCUUUUCUCUCUUCCACCACCGUAGUGAACCCAACACUACCACAACUGAACCACACGAACGCCAGAACUAGCACCACCACACCAGCCUAGCACUUCAUUGCCCAACAGCCACCAGCUCUGAUUGAACCAGCAACUUCCAGAUCUGGCCUGUGCACCACACCAGCUAAACUAGCAACAUCCCCU
rnacentral:lncRNA from 1 species